rnacentral:rRNA from 1 species
ACGUAGGGGGCAAGCGUUGUCCGGAAUUAUUGGGCGUAAAGAGCGUGUAGGCGGUCCGGUAAGUCGGCUGUGAAAGUCCAGGGCUCAACCCUGGGAUGCCGGUCGAUGCUGCCGGACUAGAGUUCGGAAGAGGCGAGUGGAAUUCCAGGUGUAGCGGUGAAAUGCGUAGAUAUCUGGAGGAACACCGGUGGCGAAGGCGGCAUCCUGGACCGGUAUUGACGCUGAGGCGCGAAAGCCAGGGGAGCAAACGGGA